rnacentral:rRNA from 1 species
UACGUAGGGUGCAAGCGUUGUCCGGAAUUAUUGGGCGUAAAGAGCUCGUAGGCGGUUUGUCGCGUCUGCUGUGAAAACUCGGGGCUUAACCCCGGGCCUGCAGUGGGUACGGGCAGACUAGAGUGCGGUAGGGGAGAGCUGGAAUUCCUGGUGUAGCGGUGAAAUGCGCAGAUAUCAGGAGGAACACCGGUGGCGAAGGCGGGUCUCUGGGCCGACACUGACGCUGAGGAGCGAAAGCGUGGGGAGCGAACAGG